CGCGGCCUAUCAGCUUGUUGGUGGGGUAACGGCCUACCAAGGCAUCGACGGGUAGCUGGUCUGAGAGGACGAUCAGCCACACUGGGACUGAGACACGGCCCAGACUUCUACGGGAGGCAGCAGGAGGGAAUAUUGCGCAAUGGGCGAAAGCCUGACGCAGCAACGCCGCGUGGGGGAUGACGGCUUUCGGGUUGUAAACCCCUUUCAGCAGGGACGAAAAUGACGGUACCUGCAGAAGAAGCCCCGGCCAACUACGUGCCAGCAGCCGCGGUAACACGUAGGGGGCAAGCGUUGUCCGGAUUUAUUGGGCGUAAAGCGCUCGUAGGCGGUUGCGUAAGUCGGAUGUGAAAACUCAGGGCUCAACCCUGAGACGCCAUUCGAUACUGCGCUGACUAGAGUCCGGUAGAGGAGCAUGGAAUUCCUGGUGUAGCGGUGAAAUGCGCAGAUAUCAGGAGGAACACCAGUGGCGAAGGCGGUGCUCUGGGCCGGAACUGACGCUGAGGAGCGAAAGCGUGGGUAGCGAACAGGAUUAGAUACCCUGGUAGUCCACGCCGUAAACGUUGGGCACUAGGUGUGGGGCCUACUUAACGGGUUCCGUGCCGUAGCUAACGCAUUAAGUGCCCCGCCUGGGGAGUACGG
rnacentral:rRNA from 1 species